AUUGAACGCUGGCGGCAGGCCUAACACAUGCAAGUCGAGCGGAGCGGCGGACGGGGGCGUAAUGCCUAGGACUCUGCCUGUGCGUGGGGGAUAACGUCCAGAAACGGGCUCUGAUACCGCAUACUCUCAGCUGAACCUAGGUGGGAUUAGCUAGUUGGUGGGGUAAAGGCCUACCAAGGCGACGAUCCGUAACUGGUCUGAGAGGAUGAUCAGCCACACUGGAACUGAGACACGGUCCAGACUCCUACGGGAGGCAGCAGUGGGGAAUAUUGCACAAUGGGCGAAAGCCUGAUGCAGCCAUGCCGCGUGUGUGAAGAAGGUCUUCGGAUUGUAAAGCACUUUAAGUUGGGAGGCGUUACCAGCAGAAUAAGCACCGGCUAACUCCGUGCCAGCAGCCGCGGUAAUAC
rnacentral:rRNA from 1 species